rnacentral:lncRNA from 1 species
GGGAAAGGAAGUGUCUACGUGGCCUGCGGAAAUAGGAUAGGCGGAAAUGAGCUAAGGUUCCCGCGAGUGGGGAAGAGCGAGGUCAAAGUAAAGCCACGCCCCCGAGCCUGUUGCGCAAUUCUCCGAGCAGGGGGAAAAAAAGGCGAAAUCGAAGUUUUGAUGUGUGUGCGCGAAUGGGGGUGGUGAUCAUUCUACUGUAGAAGAAAUGGGGUUAACAAACAAGAGUGAGGGAGAACAACAGUCCAAGCCCAACAACUCUGAUGUGUCCAGUGAAGAUCAAGAAGAAAUCCAACAAUCAGAAGAGAGUCCUCAUCAGGAUGGAAGAUUGGUUUUGGAACCGAGUGUUGUACUUUCUGUAGGGCUGGGUCUCUGAUCACAAGAAGUGGAAAGAGAAAGCUGCCCCUUUCCAGGAGGUAAGAAGGCAGAUGCUGGGAUUGGUU